rnacentral:rRNA from 1 species
GACGGUAACAGCCCGGUAGUUGAAAUGGCUUUCCCUCCAGAGUGGAUCCUGAGUACGGCGGAACACGUGAAAUUCCGUCGGAAUCCGGGAGGACCAUCUCCCAAGGCUAAAUACUCCCUAGUGACCGAUAGUGAACCAGUACCGUGAGGGAAAGGUGAAAAGCACCCCGGAAGGGGAGUGAAACAGUUCCUGAAACCGUGUGCCUACAAGUAGUUAGAGCCCGUUAAUGGGUGAUAGCGUGCCUUUUGUAGAAUGAACCGGCGAGUUACGAUUUGUUGCAAGGUUAAGCGGAAAAAGCGGAGCCGUAGCGAAAGCGAGUCUGAAUAGGGCGCAUAAGUAACAGGUCGUAGACCCGAAACCAGGUGAUCUACCCAUGUCCAGGAUGAAGGUAAGGUAAUACUUACUGGAGGUCCGAACCCACGCACGUUGAAAAGUGCGGGGAUGAGGUGUGGGUAGCGGAGAAAUUCCAAUCGAACUUGGAGAUAGCUGGUUCUCUCCGAAAUAGCUUUAGGGCUAGCCUCGAGGUAAAGAGUCAUGGAGGUAG